CGGCCUGCCGGCAUUUCCUACAGGGCACGAAGGACAUCCUCGUCUACAUCAAACGAGAGCGCCCAUAAGGGAUACAGUUGUUAACGUGGCCAAGGAGCAGCGACUAUGGCGGGGAGAAAAACACAAACAUGGUUGCCACGAGUGUCGUGAAGGACGAGGGCCGCAGGACGCUUGCAGUUGAAGGAGCAGGGCACUUUAUGUGCAUAUAAUGUCCGCUCAGACCCGAGCACACACACCGACACUCCGGGACCCUUCGAAUACAGUGUCGGCCAAGUUGCGGGGAAUUGUUAAUAUUGUCUGGGCCUGUAAGCAGCAUUUACAUGCUGGCCGACACCACGUACUACAUACGUCCUGGCUGAUGGACGGGCUCCUUUCCAUGCGGAUGAUGUCGGCUUUAAAUGUUGAAUUAACCGACGAAACCGGCAGCUUUCAUUAGAAGCGGAGGAUGGACAAAGUGCAGGAGUUUGAGGAUGUGGAAAGCCCAAAUGCCGAUGCAUUCUUGAUUCGUGGCAUUAAGACAAAAAUAAACUUGAUUUUGGUAUGAAAUUGAUUCAUUCAUUUUCAAUCCAUUGAGUAAGAUUCUUAUCCGAUGGAUGAGUCGGGCCAGCAUCGCCACUUCCAACUGUGUGCACAUCCAACAGGUAGUCAAACCAGACAUACUGUCUCCACUUGAAGUCCAUCGGAGUCUUUCCCUCUUCUUCGCUCUUU